rnacentral:snoRNA from 1 species
AUCUCAUGAUGAGGACACUCGAGUAUGUAGUCUUUAAAGCGCUCCCAAGCUUCUGGGACUGUCUCAUCAUGUUGUUGCUAAAAAAAUUUAUAUCUUCCUACAAAGAGC